AACGAACGCUGGCGGCAUGCCUAACACAUGCAAGUCGAACGAGACCUUCGGGUCUAGUGGCGCACGGGUGCGUAACGCGUGGGAACCUGCCUUUAGGUUCGGAAUAACUCAGAGAAAUUUGAGCUAAUACCGGAUAAUGUCUUCGGACCAAAGAUUUAUCGCCUUUAGAUGGGCCCGCGUUGGAUUAGCUAGUUGGUGGGGUAAGGGCCUACCAAGGCGACGAUCCAUAGCUGGUCUGAGAGGAUGAUCAGCCACACUGGGACUGAGACACGGCCCAGACUCCUACGGGAGGCAGCAGUGGGGAAUAUUGGACAAUGGGCGAAAGCCUGAUCCAGCCAUGCCGCGUGUGUGAAGAAGGUCUUCGG
rnacentral:rRNA from 1 species